AUUGAACGCUGGCGGCAGGCCUAACACAUGCAAGUCGAGCGAGCGGCGGACGGGUGAGUAAUGUAUGGGGACUGCCCGAUAGAGGGGGAUAACUACUGGAAACGGUGGCUAAUACAGCAUACUAUCGGAUAACCUAUAUGGGAUUAGCCAGUAGGUGGGGUAAAGGCUAACAUAGGCGACGAUCUCUAGCUGGUCAGAGAGGAUGACCAGCCACGCUUGUACUGGUGCACGGCCCAGUCUCCUACGGAGGCAGCAGUGGGGAAUAUUGCACGAUGGGCGCAAGCCUGAUGCAGCCAUGCCGCGUGUAUGACGAAGGCCUUAGGUUUGUAAAGUACUUUCAGCGGGGAUGCGUUACCCGCAGAAGAAGCACCGGCUAACUCCGUGCCAGCAGCCGCGGUAAUAC
rnacentral:rRNA from 1 species